UACGUAGGCAGCAAGCGUUGUUCGGAGUUACUGGGCGUAAAGAGUGCGUAGGCGGUGCUCUAAGUUUGGUGUGAAAUCUCCCGGCUUAACUGGGAGGGUGCGCCGAAAACUGGAGUGCUUGAGUAUGGGAGAGGCAAGCGGAAUUCCUGGUGUAGCGGUGAAAUGCGUAGAUAUCAGGAGGAACACCUGUGGUGUAGACAGCUUACUGGACCAUAACUGACGCUGAGGCACGAAAGCGUGGGUAGCAAACAGG
rnacentral:rRNA from 1 species